GAGCUGUGUUGGUCGAGUGUUUA
rnacentral:siRNA from 1 species